rnacentral:rRNA from 1 species
UACAGGGGGGGGCAAGCGUUGUUCGGAAUUACUGGGCGUAAAGGGCGCGUAGGCGGCAAGGCAAGUCAGGUGUGAAAGCCCCGGGCUUAACUCGGGAAUUGCAUCUGAAACUGCUGUGCUUGAGUUCUGGAGGGGGUAGUGGAAUUCCCAGUGUAGCGGUGAAAUGCGUAGAUAUUGGGAGGAACACCUGCGGCGAAGGCGGCUACCUGGACAGAAACUGACGCUGAGGCGCGAAAGCUAGGGGAGCGAACGGG